rnacentral:lncRNA from 1 species
AAAAACGAUAUAAAAGGGGAGUAACGAAACAGAUGAAGAAUUAGGGUAGGGAAAAUUGGUAGUAGUAAUGAGCGAGGGAAGAAAGUGCUGGAAGCUGCGAGGAAGAAGGAACUAACAUGUGGAUAAUAACACAAAUCUGAAUCAAAAUGGGGUUUUUAUCAUUCCAUGAUGUUCUCUUUUUAUAAUAGUUUUCAAUCUGAAUCAAGUUCCUCUCCUUAUCGCUCGCAUUCUCUUCUUUCUCUACGCUCUUUCAAUUCCCA